rnacentral:rRNA from 1 species
GUCGAACGGUCUUUUAGGAUAUAGUGGCGGACGGGUGAGUAACGCGUAAGAAUCUACCUUCAGGUUGGGGACAACCACUGGAAACGGUGGCUAAUACCCCAUGUGCCGAGAGGUGAAAGGCUUGCUGCCUGAAGAAGAGCAUGCGUCUGAUUAGCUAGUUGGUGGGGUAAGAGCCUACCAAGGCGACGAUCAGUAGCUGGUCUGAGAGGAUGAUCAGCCACACCGGGACUGAGACACGGCCCAGACUCCUACGGGAGGCAGCAGUGGGGAAUUUUCCGCAAUGGGCGAAAGCCUGACGGAGCAAUACCGCGUGGGGGAGGAAGGCUCUUGGGUUGUAAACCUCUUUUCUCAGGGAAGAAAAAAAUGACCGUACCUGAGGAAUAAGCAUCGGCUAACUCCGUGCCAGCAGCCGCGGUAAUACGGAGGAUGCAAGCGUUAUCCGGAAUGAUUGGGCGUAAAGGGUCCGCAGGUGGCAUUGUAAGUCUGCUGUUAGAGAGUCACGCUCAACGUGAUAAAAGCAGUGGAAACUACAUAGCUAGAGUAUCGUCGGGGCAGAGGGACUUCCUGGUGUAGCGGUGAAAUGCGUAGAUAUCAGGAAGAACACCGGUGGCGAAGGCGCUUUGCUAGGCCAGAACUGACAUUGAGGGACGAAAGUUAGGGGAGCGAAUGGGAUUAGAUACCCCAGUAGUCCUAGCCGUAAACGAUGGAUACUAGGCGUAGCUCGUAUCGACCCGAGCUGUGCCGUAGCUAACGCGUUAAGUAU